CCGUGCUCCACGGGGACCUUGCGGAUCUCUCGACCCGAACGCAUAGCGGGGUGCAGAGCCUAUUGUGAGACUUGUAUGAAUACGGCAGACUUUAUAUAUACCGUUGAUAGCGCAGGUAUUUAUGGCAUAGUCCAUCGAACCGUGUCAGGACGGGAACGUAGCAGCACUAAGGUGUAAACUAUGGGUGUAUUUAUUUUCGAAGUAGGUAUAUAUAAAGAAACCCUUAUUUAUAUUUGACGAUAGAUAGUGGCACGG
rnacentral:SRP_RNA from 1 species